rnacentral:rRNA from 1 species
AAGCGCGCGUAGGUGGUUUGUUAAGUUGGAUGUGAAAGCCCCGGGCUCAACCUGGGAACUGCAUCCAAAACUGGCAAGCUAGAGUAUGGGUAGAGGGUGGUGGAAUUUCCUGUGUAGCGGUGAAAUGCGUAGAUAUAGGAAGGAACACCAGUGGCGAAGGCGACCACCUGGACUGAUACUGACACUGAGGUGCGAAAGCGUGGGGAGCAAACAGGAUUAGAUACCCCGGU